rnacentral:tRNA from 1 species
UCAAGUUAUAGUUUAUUAAAAUAUCAGUUUUGGGAAUUGAAGAUGCAAAGUGUUUUGUUAGCUUGAA